CCAUCAACUGCGAAAAGACUACUCACACACGUCAAACUGUCCCCCCCGACGCACCGCCCCCCGACGCAACCGCGUCCGCGUCGGACCACUGCCGCCGAAACCCUACACGCCCCCGCCACGCCGCGGCAUGGCGGAUCCGCCGCCCGUGGCCGCCUCCGCCUCGCCGGCGCAGCCCGACCAGCUCGCCGCCGCGGCCUCCGUGUCCACCCCGCAGAACCCCAACCCCCUCCUCUCCCCUCAAAUUCCCCCGUCCCCGACCGUCUCCGACCUCUCCGCGCACAUCUCGUCCCCGCAGCAGCUCGACCAGGCGGCUGCGGCAGCUGACGCUUCGGGCGGCGGAGGAUCCAUGGAUUACCUCCCGCGCCCGCCGCAGCUGCAGGCGCCUUCGCCCACGCAGGCAGGGGUCGGCGCCGCGGGGUUUGCCCAGAUCCCCCGCUCGGGGUCGACCUCACGCCUCUCCACGGCCACCCAGCUCCAGCAGUACGCGGCUAGGAUGUACGGCGGGCAGAUGAGCUUCUCGGGUGGCGGAGGGCUCGUGGGCCAGCAGCAGCUGGCGGGGCGCGCCCCCAUGCUUGGGCAGGGCCAGCUGGGGAUGCUGCAAGGCCAGGGUAACGCGGCAUCUGCGGCACAUUUUGGGCUUCAGUCGCAGAUGUUGGCGCAGGCUAGGCAAAAGGUCAUGGCACAAAACACCCAAUUGAAUAAUGCUAAUACAGCUCAAGUGCUGCAAGGGAUGCAGCCCAUGGGUGUCAUGGGUGCUAUGGGGAUGAACCAGACGAGACCGAAUGUAACUAUUCCCUAUGGUGCUCAACAAAGGUUUGCCCAGGCACAAAUGAGGCCACAAGCAUCUCAACAACCUGCACUGUCUCCACAGAAGGUACCUGGUCAAGGUUUGUCGAGGACAGCAUCAAUUACCGCAUUAAAUUCACAACUGUCUGGAUCAUCACAAAAUGGACAGAUGGUGGCAAUGUCUAUGCCUCAGCAACAGCAACAGCAGCAGCAAUGGUUGAAGCAAAUGCAACCAUCCAUGGGCUCACCACUUUCCCCACAGCAACAAUAUCAGAACCAGCAGAGGCUCCUGUUGAUGCAGCAUCUUCAGCAGAAGACAGGAUUGAACCAACAACAACUUCUCCAAAUCCAACAACAGCAUCCACAUCUCAAUGUCCAACAGCUGAUUAAGCAGCAACAAUUUCUGAAGCAGUUUCAGCAGCAGCAACCGCUACAAUCUCCUCGUGUUUUAGCAUCUGGUUCACAGAAAUCUGCGAAUCUUACAGGCUCGCAGCCGGGUACACCAUUGUCAGGUGGAACUAUGACUGGUGGAAGUGGAAGUCAGGGAGCUGAAGGAACUAGCCAACUUCUUGGGAAAAGGAAAAUACAAGAUCUGGUUGCACAGGUAGAUCCCUUAGGCAAGGUUGACCCAGAAGUGGAGGAUUUACUUCUAGAAAUCGCUGAUGACUUCAUUGGCUCGGUGACUGCAUUUGCGUGUACCUUGGCAAAGCACAGGAAAUCAUCAGUUGUCGAAGCCAAGGAUGUGUUGCUGCACUUAGGUCAAAAAAAAUUGGAAUUUAUCUAUUCCUGGUUUCUCACGGGGGGAUAAGAAUCCUCAAAGAAAUUCUGCAAAGCAACUGGUAGAUCCCCAACAUUCAGAAAGUGAUGUUACUGGUAUCAGAGGCACAAGCAAUAAACUUGGUGCUAAUAACUCGGUUGGAAAUCAUCAAAUACGACCUCCGAUGGCAGAACCUUCAGCAAUGCCAACAAUGGGCCCUCUAUCAAAAGCCCCUCGCUUCUAGUGGUUAUGCUUCUCUUCCCUAUCGAAGGAAAAAUUCCUUUUCAGGACAAUCUACCUGGAAAACAACCCGUAGGCUCUAACUCAAGGAUUGCUAGCAAGUGGAAGCACAAUAAAUCCACGAGCAUCUGUGGCAAACUGCAGAUGCUUGUCUUACAGUUACAGGAAAGCAGUUGCUGACUUACCAAUCCUCUACAUGGGGUCAUAUGUAACUUUAUUUUAUUUUAUUUUAUUUUUGUGCCCGUAAAUGCCCCCAUCCGUUGUAUAUAAAUGUUUUUUUUUUUGGCAAUGGGGCAUUAUCGUCACCAGUUUUGAUGUUGCUAGGUAGGUGAACAAAUACUAAAGUGGAUGCAACUUAUAUAAUUUAAUGAAAUGUAAGAUUGAUGUCAUUUUUCGUUA